rnacentral:misc_RNA from 1 species
UCCGGUUUGACACCGGCAGUCUCCCUAGAGUGCCCGCCAUAACGCGCUGGCAACAUCGAACGAGGGUUGCGCUCGUUGCGGGACUUAACCCAACAUCUCACGACACGAGCUGACGACAACCAUGCACCACCUGCACACAGGCCACAAGGGAACCGACAUCUCUGCCGGCGUCCUGUGCAUGUCAAACCCAGGUAAGGUUCUUCGCGUUGCAUCGAAUUAAUCCACAUGCUCCGCCGCUUGUGCGGGCCCCCGUCAAUUCCUUUGAGUUUUAGCCUUGCGGCCGUACUCCCCAGGCGGGGCACUUAAUGCGUUAGCUUCGGCACGGAGAACGUGGAAUGUUCCCCACACCUAGUGCCCACCGUUUACGGCGUGGACUAC